rnacentral:rRNA from 1 species
GACGAACCGAGCGAACGUUAUUCGGAAUCACUGGGCUUAAAGGGCGCGUAGGCGGGCCCGAAAGUCAGGGGUGAAAGCCCACGGCUCAACCGUGGAAGUGCCUCUGAUACUUCGGGCCUCGAGGGAGGUAGGGGCGUGCGGAACUUCCGGUGGAGCGGUGAAAUGCGUAGAUAUCGGAAGGAACGUCGGCGGCGAAAGCGGCGCACUGGACCUUAUCUGACGCUGAGGCGCGAAAGCCAGGGGAGCAAACGGG